rnacentral:ncRNA from 1 species
UCUUAUCAAGAGAGGUGGAGGGACUGGCCCUUUGAAGCCUCGGCAACAGCUCGUUUGAGCCAGUGCCAAUUCCAGCAGCCGUCAAGGCUGGAAAGAUGAGA